AGAGUUGUUAGGAGACCUCAUUUCUCUCUCAGAGCUCCUAUUCCCAGGGAGCUCUGUGAGGGGAAUAAUGGUCUCCUAACAUUUCU